GGUUAAGCGACUAAGCGUACACGGUGGAUGCCCUGGCAGUCAGAGGCGAUGAAGGACGUGCUAAUCUGCGAUAAGCGUCGGUAAGGUGAUAUGAACCGUUAUAACCGGCGAUUUCCGAAUGGGGAAACCCAGUGUGUUUCGACACACUAUCAUUAACUGAAUCCAUAGGUUAAUGAGGCGAACCGGGGGAACUGAAACAUCUAAGUACCCCGAGGAAAAGAAAUCAACCGAGAUUCCCCCAGUAGCGGCGAGCGAACGGGGAGCAGCCCAGAGCCUGAAUCAGUGUGUGUGUUAGUGGAAGCGUCUGGAAAGGCGCGCGAUACAGGGUGACAGCCCCGUACACAAAAAUGCACAUACUGUGAGCUCGAUGAGUAGGGCGGGACACGUGGUAUCCUGUCUGAAUAUGGGGGGACCAUCCUCCAAGGCUAAAUACUCCUGACUGACCGAUAGUGAACCAGUACCGUGAGGGAAAGGCGAAAAGAACCCCGGCGAGGGGAGUGAAAAAGAACCUGAAACCGUGUACGUACAAGCAGUGGGAGCACGCUUCGGCGUGUGACUGCGUACCUUUUGUAUAAUGGGUCAGCGACUUAUAUUCUGUAGCAAGGUUAACCGAAUAGGGGAGCCGAAGGGAAACCGAGUCUUAACUGGGCGUUAAGUUGCAGGGUAUAGACCCGAAACCCGGUGAUCUAGCCAUGGGCAGGUUGAAGGUUGGGUAACACUAACUGGAGGACCGAACCGACUAAUGUUGAAAAAUUAGCGGAUGACUUGUGGCUGGGGGUGAAAGGCCAAUCAAACCGGGAGAUAGCUGGUUCUCCCCGAAAGCUAUUUAGGUAGCGCCUCGUGAAUUCAUCUCCGGGGGUAGAGCACUGUUUCGGCAAGGGGGUCAUCCCGACUUACCAACCCGAUGCAAACUGCGAAUACCGGAGAAUGUUAUCACGGGAGACACACGGCGGGUGCUAACGUCCGUCGUGAAGAGGGAAACAACCCAGACCGCCAGCUAAGGUCCCAAAGUCAUGGUUAAGUGGGAAACGAUGUGGGAAGGCCCAGACAGCCAGGAUGUUGGCUUAGAAGCAGCCAUCAUUUAAAGAAAGCGUAAUAGCUCACUGGUCGAGUCGGCCUGCGCGGAAGAUGUAACGGGGCUAAACCAUGCACCGAAGCUGCGGCAGCGACACUAUGUGUUGUUGGGUAGGGGAGCGUUCUGUAAGCCUGUGAAGGUGUGCUGUGAGGCAUGCUGGAGGUAUCAGAAGUGCGAAUGCUGACAUAAGUAACGAUAAAGCGGGUGAAAAGCCCGCUCGCCGGAAGACCAAGGGUUCCUGUCCAACGUUAAUCGGGGCAGGGUGAGUCGACCCCUAAGGCGAGGCCGAAAGGCGUAGUCGAUGGGAAACAGGUUAAUAUUCCUGUACUUGGUGUUACUGCGAAGGGGGGACGGAGAAGGCUAUGUUGGCCGGGCGACGGUUGUCCCGGUUUAAGCGUGUAGGCUGGUUUUCCAGGCAAAUCCGGAAAAUCAAGGCUGAGGCGUGAUGACGAGGCACUACGGUGCUGAAGCAACAAAUGCCCUGCUUCCAGGAAAAGCCUCUAAGCAUCAGGUAACAUUAAAUCGUACCCCAAACCGACACAGGUGGUCAGGUAGAGAAUACCAAGGCGCUUGAGAGAACUCGGGUGAAGGAACUAGGCAAAAUGGUGCCGUAACUUCGGGAGAAGGCACGCUGAUAUGUAGGUGAAGUCCCUCGCGGAUGGAGCUGAAAUCAGUCGAAGAUACCAGCUGGCUGCAACUGUUUAUUAAAAACACAGCACUGUGCAAACACGAAAGUGGACGUAUACGGUGUGACGCCUGCCCGGUGCCGGAAGGUUAAUUGAUGGGGUUAGCGGUAACGCGAAGCUCUUGAUCGAAGCCCCGGUAAACGGCGGCCGUAACUAUAACGGUCCUAAGGUAGCGAAAUUCCUUGUCGGGUAAGUUCCGACCUGCACG
rnacentral:rRNA from 1 species